rnacentral:rRNA from 1 species
UACAGAGGUCUCAAGCGUUGUUCGGAUUCAUUGGGCGUAAAGGGUGCGUAGGCGGCGCGGUAAGUCGGGUGUGAAAGCCCCGAGCUUAACUUGGGAAUUGCGCUUGUGACUGGCGUGCUGGAGUGUGGCAGAGGGAGGUGGAAUUCCACGUGUAGCAGUGAAAUGCGUAGAGAUGUGGAGGAACACCGAUGGCGAAGGCAGCCUCCUGGGCCAGCACUGACGCUCAUGCACGAAAGCGUGGGGAGCAAACAGG